rnacentral:rRNA from 1 species
CCUACGGGAGGCUGCAGUGAGGAAUAUUGGUCAAUGGGCUUACGCCUGAACCAGCCAAGUCGCGUGAGGGAAGACUGCCCUAUGGGUUGUAAACCUCUUUUGUCAGGGAGCAACGCCGGCUACGUGUAGCCGGACUGAGAGUACCUGAAGAAAAAGCAUCGGCUAACUCCGUGCCAGCAGCCGCGGUAAUACGGAGGAUGCGAGCGUUAUCCGGAUUGAUUGGGUUUAAAGGGUGCGUAGGCGGAAUGCCAAGUCAGCGGUAAAAUCGCGGGGCUCAACCUCGCUCCGCCGUUGAAACUGGCGUUCUUGAGUGGGCGAGAGGUAUGCGGAAUGCGUGGUGUAGCGGUGAAAUGCAUAGAUAUCACGCAGAACUCCGAUUGCGAAGGCAGCAUACCGGCGCCCAACUGACGCUGAAGCACGAAAGCGUGGGUAUCGAACAGGAUUAGAUACCCUUGUAGUC